rnacentral:rRNA from 1 species
AUUGAACGCUGGCGGCAGGCCUAACACAUGCAAGUCGAGCGAGCGGCGGACGGGUGAGUAAUGUAUGGGGACCUGCCCGAUAGAGGGGGAUAACUGCUGGAAACGGUGGCUAAUACCGCAUACUAUCGGAUGAGCACACGCGUGAUUAGCUAGUAGGGGGGGUAAAGGCUCACCUAGGGGACGAUCUCUAGCGGGUCUGAGAGGUGGAUCGGCCACACUGGGACUGAGACACGGCCCAGACUCCUACGGGAGGCAGCAGUGGGGAAUAUUGCACAAUGGGCGCAAGCCUGAUGCAGCCAUGCCGCGUGUGUGAAGAAGGCCUUAGGGUUGUAAAGUACUUUCAGCGGGGAGGCGUUACCCACCGAGGAAGCCCCGGCUAACUCCGUGCCAGCAGCCGCGGUAAUAC